GUAUUUAAGACUCGGGGAGUCAUCCCAUUGGCAAUGUGAUCUUGUACGGGAUUUCAAUAUCACGUUAUGUAGUGACAUUCAAUGCUGGACUUGGCUUUGAAUUGAUUUACAAAGUUUACAUUUCAAAAGAAACGUGCAAAUUCUAUACCAAUUGCCUUCUAUAUGUUGCUUGUGAUAUAAUGCGGGGCAGUUCUUCCUUCUGAAGCCUUGUGAACUUUAGUGCUGAAAUAAUACUCCUCUCCCCCACCCACCUAACUUCUGAUAAUGCGUAGAAAAAUACUUAUACAAUACAGAUCUCUUCUUGCUGUUGAAAUAGGAGAGCCAUGAUGAUGCUACCCCAACAAUAUGAGGUUCCUGAUUUCGUUUGUCUACGAGGGAAUCUUUUCAGAUUCAGAUGUCCCACUUCCUUUCCCCCUUUCUGAAGGUAACUGUUGCUUUCUUGAACAUUCUAGAAGUGACCCCAUUUGCAAAAGUCAAGGACAACAGGCCUACACAUGCCAACAAAAAGCUUCAAUCAGUCGAACCCCCAAAGCCAAGCAGCAAAAUAGGUAAAGGAACAAAGAAGAAGCCGCCUCAGCCGAGAAGAAAAGGGACAGUGAAUGAAAAACAUGGUCAAGCUGGUCUCAAAUAUGGCUAAAAUGCACUGGUGAGCUUCUGAAACUGAGGUCUUUUUAAUCAUAAAUGGGUCUCUUCAGUAGUUCGUUAGGUGUUCUCAAAUUCUCUCUACCUGAAAAGUUAUAUGCUAUUUAAACCGUUGUGUUGGAAAAGUUAAAUGCUAUUUAAACCGUUGUGUUGUCUUUUGCUUUUAGUGAUAUAACGUUGCUUUUAAAAUCUUCUCUCA